GCUGCCCUUCCUUCUGUUUUCUCUUCCAGGUGAGAACAUUGAAAUCAGGCAGUUUUGUCAGAAGCAUCAGCUUUUCCAGUUAAAGCUGUAAAGCUGCUGGAGGGCCCCUCUGCGCAUUGUUUCCCUGGGAGGCAGGCGAGGCGAGGCGCGACUCACAUCCUCCCCUGGAAGCUUGAAUGUUCGCUGUUCGCGGGGCAUGACUCCCUCAGAGCCCGCUACCGCCAAGGCCUCUUCAGGGCAGAGCCUUGCUUCUCCGUGCUGUUUCCCACGGAGGGAGAAGACGGCUGUGGCCUGGCAGGCAGCCCAUCGGACAAGAAGCCAGUCGACUGCUGGCUGUUAAGAAACA